rnacentral:rRNA from 1 species
CGUGGGUGACCUGCCCUCGAGUGGGGAAUAACGCUGCGAAAGCAGCGCUAAUACCGCAUACGCUCCGCGCUUCACGCGCGGAGGAAAGCGUCAUGCGCUGGAGGAGGGGCCUGCGGCGGAUUAGCUAGUCGGUGGGGUAAUGGCCUACCGAGGCCACGAUCCGUAGCUGGUCUGAGAGGAUGGUCAGCCACACUGGGACUGAGACACGGCCCAG